rnacentral:rRNA from 1 species
GGGUGCUAGACGUUGGCGAGCUUGCUCGUCAGUGUCGCAGCUAACGCGUUAAGCACCCCGCCUGGGGAGUACGGCCGCAAGGUUGAAACUCAAAGGAAUUGACGGGGGCCCGCACAAGCGGUGGAGCAUGUGGUUCAAUUCGACGCAACGCGAAGAACCUUACCAGCCCUUGACAUGUGACUCGCCGGGAGCAGAGACGCUCCCUUCGGUUCGGCCGGAGUCAACACAGGUGCUGCAUGGCUGUCGUCAG